ACUGUACUCCCAAAUAAACAUGGAAUUUCAAAAUGCUGGAAAAUAUAUGCUUUGAUAAUCUGGUAACAAUUAAUAAAUUGAUAACUGAAUUCUAAUUUAAUAAGACCUACAUUUUAUUUCUUCUAUUAACCUUUAAAAGAACGAAAACAAAGCACAAGGCAUAAUUUUCUGAUUCAAAAAAAAAAAAAAUUUUCAUCCAGACCAUGAAAUAAAAAAUUUUGAGUAGGGGCAAAUUUUGUGAGUCGGUCGCGUUACUGCAAACAAACAUUUUUUUAAGGAUGGCCUGAUGGGACUGAAAAUAGUUUUUCCAGAUAAAUGUACCAUUUAAUGUAGGGUUUAGACCACUAAUCUUUGUGCAAAAUUUCAGAUCAUUCCGGCACUGCUUUUUUCCAGAAUAAUUAUUCAAAUUGUAAAAAAUGACCUAAAAUGAAAAGCGUUUAAACACUGCUCACUCAAAUCGGGCUAAGAAAAUCAUAAAAUACCAUUUUUCAUUUAUUUCAAAGUAAAUUUCUAAGCUAUCUUUGCAUAUAUUCCUGUUCAAUUUAAGUACCCUGCUGAUUUAUGUAAGGAAUUCAAAUGUUAUGUUUUUAGGCUUUAAAACCUCAGUGGAGUCCCUUUAACUUCUAUAGCAACUAAUGACACAGAGAACAACCAUUUACUUUCCAUAGCAACCACUGUUUUCAAAAGGAACCGUUAACUUUCCAUAGCAACACGUGACUUUCAUAGCAGCAAUUGACAUUCCAUAGCAACCAUUGAUCCUAACAAAUUUUGACUUUACUUAGCAACCAUUGAUUUUAAUAGCAACAAAAAAGAGAAAAAAGUGGAGUGUUACAGGUCCCGCCUUGCAGUGACUUUUAUCUUAAAUGUACAAUAUUUGAGAUGCUUAUAUGAACUUCGUGAUAAUUAUCAGUUUAAGAUUAGAAUCUGCUUUUCAUUCAUAACUUGCAAAAUUUAUUGCUCCAUGUCAGUUAGAGCCUUUAUAAUCAAGUGAGCGACAUAAGGUUCAUCAUGACCUUCUUGUUCAUAUUUAACUAGAUUAGAAUAAGACAUUGUUCUGCAAAAUUUCCUCAUUAAUAAGAUACUUAUUAUGCGUUAAUCUUGUGUCUUAUUUCUCGUUUCAGCGGCCAUGGAUCAAAAUUGUUGUGAUGCAGAAUCUCUUGUGACAUUUUACAAUAUGGAUUUGUGUAGUUACAGAUUAUUUCGAGCAAUAAAAAAACCAUGUUCCUUUGUUGACAAGAAAAUCAGCUCGACAAUGAUUAUUAUGCUUCUACUAGAGUCCAAUAUGAAUACUUAACACCUGGUUCCUGGCUAUACAGAAACAUAUCCCAAAGAAAAAUGUUUAAAAACAGUGCAUCACCAAUACCUUGUACAAUCUUUUAGUUCCUAAAUGCUGAAACAAAGACAGACCAGCAAA